UUCAAGGGGUGCUCAUUGUUGUGGGCUGAGAUGAUACCCUCUAACCUGAUUCGGAUAAUGCCGACGUAGGGAUGGAU
rnacentral:ncRNA from 1 species